rnacentral:rRNA from 1 species
CUCGGAAGAUUGCAGAGAUGCGAUUGUGCCUUCGGGAACCGUAAGACAGGUGCUGCAUGGCUGUCGUCAGCUCGUGUUGUGAAAUGUUGGGUUAAGUCCCGCAACGAGCGCAACCCUUAUCCUUAGUUGCCAGCACGUAAUGGUGGGAACUCUAGGGAGACUGCCGGUGAUAAACCGGAGGAAGGUGGGGACGACGUCAAGUCAUCAUGGCCCUUACGAGUAGGGCUACACACGUGCUACAAUGGUAUGUACAGAGGGAGGCAAGCUGGCGACAGUGAGCGGAUCUCAUAAAGCAUAUCGUAGUCCGGAUUGGAGUCUGCAACUCGACUCCAUGAAGUCGGAAUCGCUAGUAAUCGUGAAUCAGAAUGUCACGGUGAAUACGUUCCCGGGUCUUGU